rnacentral:rRNA from 1 species
AGAGACCUCAAGCGUUACCCGGAAUCAUUGGGCGUAAAGCGUACCGAUAGGUGGUUUAUUAAGUUUUGGGUAAGAGCCAGAAGCUCAACUUCUGCGUUUGCUCAAGAUACUGAUAGACUAGAGGGACAAAGAGGUUGCUGGAACGAACGGUGUAGUAGUGAAAUGCGUUGAUAUCGUUCGGAACACCGAAAGCGAAGGCAGGCAACUGGGUGUCACCUGACACUGCUAGGACGAAAGCGUGGGGAGCGAAUGGGAUUAGAUACCCCAGUAGUCCACGCUGUAAACGAUGAAUAUUAGGCAUGCGCGAGUAUCGACCCUCGUGCGAGCCGUAGSUAACGCGUUAAAUAUUCCGCCUGGGGAGUACGGCCGCA